UCUCCCUAAUAUGUGGAAUCUAAAAGACAUGCCAAAAAAGUAGAAGGGAACCUGUAAUCCCAGCUCUCGGGAGGCUGAGGCAGGAGGAU
rnacentral:miRNA from 1 species